rnacentral:rRNA from 1 species
CCAAUAAGCGGAGGAAAAGAAACCAACAGGGAUUGCCCUAGUAACGGCGAGUGAAGCGGCAACAGCUCAAAUUUGAAAUCUGGCUUCGGCCCGAGUUGUAAUUUGCAGAGGAUGUUUAUGGUGCGGUACCUUCCGAGUUCCCUGGAACGGGACGCCACAGAGGGUGAGAGCCCCGUCUGGUUGGAUACCAAACCUGUGUUAAACUCCUUCAACGAGUCGAGUAGUUUGGGAAUGCUGCUCUAAAUGGGAGGUAAAUCUCUUCUAAAGCUAAAUACCGGCCAGAGACCGAUAGCGCACAAGUAGAGUGAUCGAAAGAUGAAAAGCACCUUGAAAAGGGGGUUAAACAGUACGUGAAAUUGUUGAAAGGGAAGCGUUUAUGACCAGACUUGUGUCGUGUGGCUCAUCCGAGGUUCUCCCCGGUGCACUCCACACGGCUCAGGCCAACAUCGGUUCUCGUUGGGGGAUAAGAACAGUAGGAACGUGGCCCCUCUCGGGGGGUGUUAUAGCCUAUUGUACGAUACUCUGACGGGGACCGAGGACCGCGCUUCGGCUAGGAUGUUGGCGUAAUGGUCAUUAGCGACCCGUCUUGAAACACGGACCAAGGAGUCGUCCAUUAGAGCGAGCGUUUGGGUGUAAAACCCGCACGCGUAAUGAAAGUGAAAUUAGGUGAGAGCUUCGGCGCAUCAUCGACCGAUCCUGAAGUUUACGGAUGGAUUUGAGUAAGAGUUUUAACGGACGGACCCGAAAGACAGUGAACUAUGCUUGAAUAGGGUGAAGCCAGAGGAAACUCUGGUGGAGGCUCGCAGCGGUUCUGACGUGCAAAUCGAUCGUCAAAUUUGAGCAUGGGGGCGAAAGACUAAUCGAACUGUCUAGUAGCUGGUUACCGCC